GAUGAACGCUGGCGGCGUGCCUAAUACAUGCAAGUCGAGCGAACGGACGAGAAGCUUGCUUCUCUGAUGUUAGCGGCGGACGGGUGAGUAACACGUGUAUAACCUACCUAUAAGACUGGGAUAACUUCGGGAAACCGGAUCUAAUACCGGAUAAUAUUUUGAACCGCAUGGUUCAAAAGUGAAAGACGGUCUUGCUGUCACUUAUAGAUGGAUCCGCGCUGCAUUAGCUAGUUGGUAAGGUAACGGCUUACCAAGGCAACGAUGCAUAGCCGACCUGAGAGGGUGAUAGCCCACAUUGGAGGUGAGACAGGGACCAGACUACUGCGGGAGGCCGCAGUAGGGAAUCUUACGCAAUGGGCGAAAGCCUGGCGGAGCAACGCCGCGUGAGUGAUGAAAAUCUUCGGAUCGUAAAGCUCUGUUAUUAGGGAAGAACAUAUGUGUAAGUAACUGUGCCGAGAGUGACGGUACCUAAUCAGAAAGCAACGGCUAACUACGUG
rnacentral:rRNA from 1 species